rnacentral:rRNA from 1 species
UGGGGAAUUUUGGACAAUGGGGGAAACCCUGAUCCAGCCAUCCCGCGUGUGCGAUGAAGGCCUUCGGGUUGUAAAGCACUUUUGGCAGGAAAGAAACGUCAUGGGUUAAUACCCCGUGAAACUGACGGUACCUGCAGAAUAAGCACCGGCUAACUACGUGCCAGCAGCCGCGGUAAUACGUAGGGUGCAAGCGUUAAUCGGAAUUACUGGGCGUAAAGCGUGCGCAGGCGGUUCGGAAAGAAAGAUGUGAAAUCCCAGAGCUCAACUUUGGAACUGCAUUUUUAAUUACCGGGCUAGAGUGUGACAGAGGGAGGUGGAAUUCCGCGUGUAGCAGUGAAAUGCGUAGAUAUGCGGAGGAACACCGAUGGCGAAGGCAGCCUCCUGGGAUAACACUGACGCUCAUGCACGAAAGCGUGGGGAGCAAACAGG